rnacentral:lncRNA from 1 species
CCUCCAACGGCCGAGGGUUAGCUCAGAGCCACCUGAGUCGUCAGCCCUAACACCAACAGCCAUGAGCGCGGACAUUUAGGGGGAACGUACCUGGAGAUGGUUCCCGCGAGCAUCUUCCCAGCAUCCCCAUCAACACCCUCCCCCCGCCAGGCGGCUGAGUCUAAGUAUCAAAAAUGGGCCUGUCUUGCUUGACGGGAUGAAUAAUAGCUCCCCAAAGACGUCCAUGUCCUAACCCUCAGAACCCGUGUCUGCAUCAUCUUACGGGACAGGAGGGGCCCUGCAGCUCCACAAAAGAGGGAGUCAGAGCCUGGAGGCGACAGACAGGUGGCGCAUGUGAUCGGGCUGUCCGUCCCCGAGGAGGAGAAGGGGUCCACUCAUCCCCAGGACCUGCGGUCUGGCGGGCGGAUGGAGGGUCCAGACACCUCCUUCCACCAGGACCACUGUGGACUGAACGUACUGAAUGUUCGCGUCCCCCCAGAAUUCAGAGGUUGAAACGCCAGCGCCCGAGGGGAUGGCAGCAGGAGGCGGGGCUUCAGGAGGUGCUUAGGUCCCGAGGGGGGAGCCUCUGUUGGGAUCAGUGCUUGUAGAAGAAGAGGCCGUGGGAGCUUGCUCCUCUCUCCUCUCUCCACAACAUGAGGACCCACUAGGAGCUACAAGGAAGAGGGCCGGGAACCCGACCACGCUGGCACCCUGAUCUGGGACGUGCAGCCAGCAGGACCACAAGAG